rnacentral:rRNA from 1 species
CCUACGGGAGGCUGCAGUGAGGAAUAUUGGUCAAUGGACGAGAGUCUGAACCAGCCAAGUAGCGUGAAGGAUGACUGCCCUAUGGGUUGUAAACUUCUUUUAUAUGGGAAUAAAGUGUUGCACGUGUGCCUUUUUGUAUGUACCUUAUGAAUAAGGAUCGGCUAACUCCGUGCCAGCAGCCGCGGUAAUACGGAGGAUCCGAGCGUUAUCCGGAUUUAUUGGGUUUAAAGGGAGCGUAGGUGGAUUGUUAAGUCAGUUGUGAAAGUUUGCGGCUCAACCGUAAAAUUGCAGUUGAUACUGGCAGUCUUGAGUACAGUAGAGGUAGGCGGAAUUCGUGGUGUAGCGGUGAAAUGCUUAGAUAUCACGAAGAACUCCGAUUGCGAAGGCAGCUUACUAGACUGCCACUGACAUUGAUGCUCGAAAGUGUGGGUAUCAAACAGGAUUAGAUACCCUUGUAGUC